UACGGGGGGGGCAAGCGUUGUUCGGAAUUACUGGGCGUAAAGGGCUCGUAGGCGGCCAACUAAGUCAGACGUGAAAUCCCUCGGCUUAACCGGGGAACUGCGUCUGAUACUGGAUGGCUUGAGUUUGGGAGAGGGAUGCGGAAUUCCGGGUGUAGUGGUGGAAUGCGUAGAGCUCCGGAGGAACACCAGUGGCGAAGGCGGCCGCCUGGGCCAGUCCUGACGCUGAGCCGCGAAAGCGUGGGGAGCGAUCCGG
rnacentral:rRNA from 1 species